CAAAUGCUAUGCUGCAAAUGAAUAUGGUAAAGCUGUCUGCACAACAACAUUAAAUGUGAUUGAGGCUUCCAAAAACCCAUCAGACUUCAGAAAACUGCUGCGGAAAAGUAAAGUAGAUGAAAAAGGAGACGGGGAAAAUGAUGAAAGAUUCUGGGACGCGAUGCUGAACGCUGACAGAAAGGACUACGAGCGCAUCUGUUCUGAGUUUGGUGUUUCAAACUUACAUUUGAUUCUCAAGAAACUGGAAGAGAAGAAGAAGGAGAGGGCGCAAAAUAAGUGUAUGGUACGGCUGGCUCUCAAAGAAGAUGCAUUAUCUCCAGCUAAAUCAUCUCUG